UUACGGUCAUAUCACAUUGAAACAUCGGUUCCCAUAGAAUCACCGAAGUUAAGCAACGUCGAGCUUAGUCAGUACAUAGAUGGGUAACUGCUUGGAAAUAUCAGAUGCUGUAAG